rnacentral:rRNA from 1 species
AUUGAACGCUGGCGGCAUGCCUUACACAUGCAAGUCGAACGGCAGCACGGGAGCAAUCCUGGUGGCGAGUGGCGAACGGGUGAGUAAUAUAUCGGAACGUGCCAGUCGUGGGGAUAACGUAGCGAAAGCUACGCUAAUACCGCAUACGAUCUAUGGAUGAAAGCGGGGGAUCGCAAGACCUCGCGCGAUUGGAGCGGCCGAUAUCAGAUUAGGUAGUUGGUGAGGUAAAGGCUCACCAAGCCGACGAUCUGUAGCUGGUCUGAGAGGACGACCAGCCACACUGGGACUGAGACACGGCCCAGACUCCUACGGGAGGCAGCAGUGGGGAAUUUUGGACAAUGGGCGCAAGCCUGAUCCAGCAAUGCCGCGUGAGUGAUGAAGGCCUUCGGGUUG